rnacentral:lncRNA from 1 species
GGAAGAGGAGGAAGGAAGAAGAUAAGAGUUCAAGACCUCAGUUACAUAAUGAGCUAGGGGCUAGAGAAGACUACAUGAGACCCUGUCCCAAAAAACAGCAAAAAUAAAAUACACACACACACACACACACUAGUUGGAUCACUCAUAAGCCUCCCAGAUUGAAAGAGAAACAUAGGUAAUUUUCAAAUAUUUAAGGGCAUUUAUAAAUUGCACCACUGUUUAACAAGCUUUAUGACAUCUGUCACACAGACACCACUGAUGAUCAAAUAUGCAAUAUUCAAAUGAAUAUACAGGUGUUUAUACUGUAUAGCAGUGAGUGAGUUGGGGAAGAAAAUACUAUUUUCAUGAUCAGAAAAACUCAUGUUCUAGUUCACAGAAACAACCUCAUGUCAAAGGUAAGAUUUCAUGAGGGAUGGGGAAAGAGAUUUCCAGUGGAGUGAAGGAAAAUGGACAUCUCACUUGAGAGAUGACUUGAGAAAACGCGGAGGUGAUCAUAAAAGGCUAGAAGGAACUAAAGAACAAACUGAGCUGAGGCACGUAACCUAAGCUACUAAAGAAUGAGACAAGGUGACAUGAGGAGCAUGUUGAUUCCCCCCUCACACCUCCAGGUAUCACAGAAAUCCAAAGUGCCACAGACUCAUGCUCAUCAGACCCCUGAGCUUAGAGUUGGGCUGACCCCACUAAGCAGUCCCACCUCCAUAAAGUAUAUGGCCUUGGACAAGCCAUUUGAGCAUUAAGAUCCAGUACCCUCAUCUAAAGCAAAUUAGAAACAUCUACCUCACAAUACAGAAGACUAAACAAGAUUACAUAAUGGCAUUGUGCUGGUUAGCAUGUACUAGGCCCCGACACAAGAACUGACACCCUCCUGGCCCACCUUUGGCAGCCCACUUGCUGGGCAUUUCUGUGAAUGCUAUUACUGAGUUCCUUUCUGUAUGGCUUGUGAAGUUGAAGUGUCUGCUCAGUGUCCUGGGAGAUGUUGAAUCAGAAAGUGCCAAGAGUAGCAUUCAUGUUUCUCUCCUUCUCUUCAGAGCCACACAUCUGUGUGCUUGUUUUGUGUGAAAAUUUGUCAUGUGAUAACAAUAAAAGAGUUAUUCGUUAGAACAUUUUUAUCAUGUACCAAUAAGGCUGUUAAAAUAUCUCUUUCUCAGCAAUGAAUGUGAAUUCACUCUGAAAUCAUAUUGGCACAAGUGGCCUGGAGGUCAAUGAUACUGUAUAUUGCAUUUGUCGUGACAGUUUUUAACAAUUGAAGGUGGUCUCAAGAAACAAAUCAAUGUACUGACUUAGCAAUUAAUUCUGGCUGGAAAGGAAAUAUAGUUUCCUUGAAAAAUUGGUUUGAUUUUUAUAUUCAAACAUACAUGCCCUUUGACCUGCUCUUAUCAGGGAAGGUUAAACAGAGGGCACUAGGUCACAGCAUGCUGGACGAGACUAAUUAAAUAAGGGCUGAACUGAGAAGGUGUCAAGACUUGAUUUAAAGGAGCAAAGCCCUCCUGAAGUGUCUGGGGCUUGAAAAAUACUUGGGGUGGGGGUUGUCUUGGGGCAAUAGAAUGUGAUAGAAGACACUCUUAAAGUCAGCAGUUAUAGCACUAUAGCAGUGCCCACCUGCAGGGCUCUUUCACGAAAUUUAGACAGUGAAGUAAAUGAAAUUUCCAAGCUACAGUCAUCUGACCUGGUUUCAAACCCAACAAGACCUCAAAUAAAGAGAUGAGUUUUAAAACUGUGUGUUUCCCACAGGCCAGCAGCAGUGCUUCAUUCCAGUGUGGGCUGCAAGUGUAUUCUGUGGGCUUCGCCUCUCCCCUUUGCCCUCCUGUCGCUCUGUCUGCUUGACAUGUUUAUUAAAUAGAAGCUUCAGGCUGCACAGGCAGACUUACAUUCUCCUCCCAAGUCGCCCACCACUGACAGCCCAUAGUCUGUCUGGAGAAAAGAUCCCAGAAGCCUCAUAGCUAAAGGGCUCCCUAGUUUGGGGAAAAAUUUUUUGUUUUGGUUUGGUUUUUUACAUUCUUUUGGUAGCUUUUGUUUUGGAGUACUAUUUGUUUGAAUAAUAAUUAAUUCUUAUUUAGAUUUCUUUUUCAGUUUGAACAUAAGUAAAUAAUUAGAAGUGGGUAUUUCUCUCUAUGUAUAAAGGUGGGGGACACAGCCCAGUGAUGGAGUAUCUUUUCGUUAUGUACAAGGCCCUGGGUACAAUCCUCAAAGACUACAAAACACUAAAGUGUCUUUGCUAUGUACAAGAAAGUAGUUUAUCCUUCAGAAUAAAAGUGUUAGAAAUUAACUUACACAGUACAUUCACAGAUGAAAUUUAAAAUUUAUGCUUCUAUAUCUUUUCUAUAUAAGAAUUCUUGUCUAAUGAGAAAACAUAAGUUAUUAGGAAUGAAUAGCUGCUUUGGUGGAGUGUGUGUUGAAUACAUGUGUUGUGGGCAUUGUUCUGCUCUAGCUUCUGUCCUUCAGGUUAAAUAUUACAUUGAUUUUGGUCAUUUAUUAGAUUAUGAACCCCUGAACUAAUUGCUGCCCGGAGUAUAAUAGUCAGGUUCAUGAUAUUUUUGUAGAUUUUUUUCUCUCAUAUUGCUUCAUUUGGGCUUUUUUUUUUUUCUUAAUGGUCUUUUGUUUAUAUAUUUUGGUUUCCAUUUAGGAGGUUAUAUGUGUUUCUUGUUUGUUUUGUUUU